rnacentral:rRNA from 1 species
GGGGGGGGGGGGGGGGGGGGGGGGGGGGGGGAGGGGGGGGGGGGGGGGGGGGCGGGGGGGGGGGGCGCGGGGGGCGGACGGGUGGGUGGGACGGGGGUGACCUGCCCUGGACUUGGGGGUAACUUCAGGAAACUGGGGCUAAUACCGGAUAGGGGCUCCUGCUGCAUGGGGGGGGUUGGAAAGUUUCGGCGGUUGGGGAUGGACUCGCGGCUGAUCAGCUGGUUGGUGGGGUAGUGGCUUACCAAGGCUUUGACGGGUAGCCGGCCUGAGAGGGUGACCGGCCACAUUGGGACUGAGAUACGGCCCAGACUCCUACGGGAGGCAGCAGUGGGGAAUAUUGCACAAUGGGCGGAAGCCUGAUGCAGCAACGCCGCGUGCGGGAUGACGGCCUUCGGGUUGUAAACCGCUUUCGCCUGUGACGAAGCGUGAGUGACGGUAAUGGGUAAAGAAGCACCGGCUAACUACGUG